rnacentral:rRNA from 1 species
UACGUAGGGGGCAAGCGUUGUCCGGAUUUAUUGGGCGUAAAGAGCGUGUAGGCGGCCAGAUAGGUCAGCUGUGAAAACUCGAGGCUCAACCUCGAGAUGUCGGCUGAAACCAUCUGGCUAGAGUCCGGAAGAGGAGAAUGGAAUUCCCGGUGUAGCGGUGAAAUGCGCAGAUAUCGGGAAGAACACCCGUGGCGAAGGCGGUUCUCUGGGACGGUACUGACGCUGAGACGCGAAAGCGUGGGGAGCAAACGGG